AAUGUGAGCUCUACAGCCUCAGGCAUCUUGGAACAGGAUCAUGGUCCUUUGUGAUUACGCUGGACUCACCUGGGUAAUCCAGUAUCCACUUCAAAAUUCUUCAACACAUCUACAACCUUUUGACAUGGAAGCACCCAGAGAUGCUCUCCUGAGGCCCAGACCACCACGGCCAGUCAUGGGGGAGGAGUGGCGUUGGCGAUUCAGGACUGCUUUUUCCCUCUUCAGUGCCUCUCUCAACAACAUGAAGGUAAAACCAGAUACUGUGCGUGCUCACCUGAUUUUUGGUUCUUGAUGGUGUCUUUUUCUUUGUAGAUAGUUGUUAAGUUGGCAUCCUUGAGAGGGGAACAAUCAGUGGAAACUUCUACUCUGCCAUCUUCUUCCACCUCCCCUGAUUUGAUUUUUAAUAGAUACAUGCCUAUCCCUUAAAUUUCUUUUGUAAGCCUAUUUUCCUUUGUAACAAGAAAUAACUAUGUAUUUAUUGAGAAAUUGUGUCUUUUAAGGAAUUGGUCUAUUUUAUCUAAGUUUUCCCAGUACUUUUAUUUCUAAUGUUAGUAAUUGGUAUCAUCUCUAUUCUUAGCUUUUCAAUUUUUUCAUCUUUUCAAAGAACCAUCUUUUGGUUUUCUCUAUUGAUUUCCUGUUUUUAAUUUCAUUGAUUUCUGCUCUAAUUUUUAUUAUUUCUUUUCUUCUGC
rnacentral:lncRNA from 1 species